rnacentral:lncRNA from 1 species
GGCACCCUGGCGCUCCCGGACGGCGGCGCGGAGGACCGCGCCACGAUCUUGGCCGGCUUAAGCAUGGCCAUCGCAGCUACGGUGGUCGCCAUUGACGCCUUCCUCUUCUUCCUCCUCCUCUCCGAGCUCUAGCUCACCUUGCAGCUGCAGCUAUGACCGGUGCAGCUCGACGCCGGCGUGUGUGCGUGCAGCUUCUUGGGUCGGGUGGAUGCAAUUCUGAGCGUGAGCGUGAUGUCGUCGCUGCGUUUCUUUCUACGACGGCGGAUGCGGCUUAUCUGCAUCGACGAUGGAAGGAGGCGAGUGUGUGCUCCAGGUUU